UCCUGAUAUGGAAGAGAAUAUAGACUGAAGGUAUUGCAAGACUCCAUUUUAACGAACCGGCUGAAGUCAGAGACCACGUAGAAGCGUCAGACAUCAUGGAAUGCUGGAACACCCUUCUGAAGGCACACAGUUUCAGAGGAGAGAGUCCCAAAGGCACUGUGGAGGGGCUGAUCUCUGGACUAUCACGGAGGAGUGGCCCUGUACCUCCAGAGUGGGGGACUUCACUGCCGAGAUCUGCACAGGAAAUGUGCUUAAAUGAUGGGCCCCGCUGCUCUUCUCCGAUUCCUCUCCCAGCGCCUGUGCACCGCUUCCUGAUGGCUGCUCCUAUGACAGGCUUUCUGAGGCGGGCUCACUCUAAUCAGACGCAGGACAACUCAUACGGAUCGUUUCUCAUCUGCUGUGUCAUGGGUAUGGAGUGCACUUGGAAGUUUCACUGGACAAGAGAUUUGCGAUGACUCUGCUCACUGUGGCAUAUCAUUAAAAAGAUCUCAGGACAUUGCCAUACAGGUCUGCACAUCUGAAAUCCAGAUGCAGGACGGCUCAGCUGGUUCCCUGAUUCAGGUUUCUUAAAGCCAAAUUCAACGUUCUGACCAGCAAUGAGAAAACAGACUGAGAAAGCCAUUCGAUUGAAGAUACAGCAAUUAGAAAAC